GACGAACGCUGGCGGCGUGCUUAACACAUGCAAGUCGAACGGUGAACCUCUUCGGUUGGGAUCAGUGGCGUACGGGUGGGUAACACGUUAGCAACCUGCCCCCGUCUCUGUGAUAACUCCAUGACAUUGGGGCUAAUACCCUAUUUUCACCUCUUCCCGCAUGGGUGAUGGUGCAAUGGUUUUCCGGCUGGGGCUGGGCCCGCGGCCUAGCAGCUUGGUGGUGGUGUAGUGGCCUUCCAAGGCGGCGACAGGUAGCCGACAUGGGAGGGUGACCGGCCACACUGGGACUGCGACAGGGCCCAGACUCCUACGGGAGGCAGCAGGGGGGAGUAUUGCGGAAUGGGCGGACGCCUGACGCAGAGACGCCGCGUGGGGGAUGACGGCUUUCGGGUUGUAAACCUCUUUCAGCAGGGACGAAGCGGAAGUGACGGUACCUGCAGAAGAAGCCCCGGCCAACUACGUG
rnacentral:rRNA from 1 species